rnacentral:rRNA from 1 species
GACGAACGCUGGCGGCGUGCCUAAUACAUGCAAGUAGGACGCACAGUUUAUACCGUAGCUUGCUACACCAUAGACUGUGAGUUGCGAACGGGUGAGUAACGCGUAGGUAACCUACCUAUUAGAGGGGGAUAACUAUUGGAAACGAUAGCUAAUACCGCAUAACAGUAUGUAACACAUGUUAGAUGCUUGAAAGAUGCAAUUGCAUCGCUAGUAGAUGGACCUGCGUUGUAUUAGCUAGUAGGUAGGGUAAAGGCCUACCUAGGCAACGAUACAUAGCCGACCUGAGAGGGUGAUCGGCCACACUGGGACUGAGACACGGCCCAGACUCCUACGGGAGGCAGCAGUAGGGAAUCUUCGGCAAUGGGGGGAACCCUGACCGAGCAACGCCGCGUGAGUGAAGAAGGUUUUCGGACCGUAAAGCUCUGUUGUUAAGGAAGAACGAGUGUGAGAAUGGAAAGUUCAUGCUGUGACG